UUGUUCCAUAAGAUAGCUAAGGGAAGCAAUAUGGCUGACAACAAGACAAUGUCAGCUUCCACAUAGUUCUUAAUUCUUCUUUUGUUUGCUGGAUGUUCACCACAAUGCUCUGUGCAACACCUCAAUUGUUGAAAGGGUUAAUACAGAACUAGCAGCAUUAGACAGCACUACACCUUCAAGACUUUCCAAGUUAGUUUAUGUCCUCAUAAAUAAGCAUCUCAGUUUCUUCGGCCCGCAUGGAUUUUGACCCAACAAAUGUAGUUGCUUAAUUGUUUGAUUUAAUUGUAAAAUAG